AAUAGAUACCCCGGUAGUCCUGGCCGUAAACGAUGACCACUAGGUGUGGGAGGUAUCGACCCCUUCCGUGCCGUCGGCAACCCAAUAAGUGGUCCGCCUGGGGAGUACGGUCGCAAGAUUAAAACUCAAAGGAAUUGACGGGGACCCGCACAAGCAGCGGAGCGUGUGGUUUAAUUCGAUGCGACGCGAAGAACCUUACCAGGGUUUGACAUGUGCUUGCACCACCGGGAGACCGGUGUCCCUUCGGGGCGGGCACACAGGUGCUGCAUGGCUGUCGUCAGCUCGUGCCGUGAGGUGUUGGGUUAAGUCCCGCAACGAGCGCAACCCUUGUCUUCUGUUGCCAUCGGGUUAUGCCGGGCACUCUGAAGAGACUGCCGGUGACAAACCGGAGGAAGGUGGGGAUGACGUCAAGUCAGCAUGGCCUUUAUGUCUGGGGCCACACACGUGCUACAAUGGCCGGUACAAAACCGUCGCGAGCCCGCAAGGGGGGAGCUAAUCGGGAGAAAGCCGGUCUCAGUUCGGAUUGUAGGCUGCAACUCG
rnacentral:rRNA from 1 species